rnacentral:miRNA from 1 species
GCAAAUGAUGUCAACGUUUCAGUCCUCCAGGGACUUUUCUCAAGUCUUGAGAAAAGUCCCUGGAGGACUGAAACGUUGACACCAUUUGCUGGAAAA